AAGUAAUGAAUAAUAGAUUUGAAAUAUUUAUUAUAUAGAUUUAAAGAAAUAAUCAUAGAAUACAUAAGUUAUUAAUAGUUAUUAGGUUACUAAUAAAUAAAUUAAUAAAUUUAUUUUAAUACCUAAGGUAAACCAUAAAAAAUUAAUUAAAAAUUAAUUUUUAUAAAUAUACUAAGUGAACUGAAACAUCUAAGUAACUUAAGGAUAAAAAAUCAACCGAGAUAUUAUGAGUAUUGGUGAGAGAAAAUAAUAUAGUUAAUAAUUUUAUUAUAAAAUUAUAUAUAUAAGUAUUAUGUAAUAUAAUUAUGUAAGAAUAUAGGACAAACUAGUUCUAAAACUAAAUACUAUUAAUAAACAAAAUAAGUACCGAAAGGGAAAGUAUGUAAGUGGUUAUUUUAUAAGUAAUCAUAGAUAUAAAUUUUAUAUUAAUGAUGUACCUUUUGUAUAAUGGGUCAGCAAGUAAUUAAUAUUAGCAAAAUAAAAAAAUUAUAAAAAAAUUGAUAAAAAUAUAGAAGUUAAUAUUAAUUGACCCGAAAGCAAAUGAUCUUACUAUGACCAGACGGUUAAACGGUCGAACAGGUUGAUGUUGCAAUAUCAUCUGAUGAGUUGUGGUAAGUAGUGAAAGACAAAUCUGAUUUGCAGAUAGCUGGUUUUCUACGAAAUAUAUGUUAGUAUAGCUUUUAUAAUAAUAAUUAUUAUAAUCCAAUGGAUUAUAAAGAACGGUACAGCAACAAAUAUAUUUAGGGGAACUAUUGUAGUUUUAUCAAAAAUAUUUGAUCUCGAAAUGUUUAAUUAACCCCUUUUUCAUAAGGAAAAGGGGGGAUUAUAAAAAGUCAGAUUAUGUGCGAUAAGGUAAAUAAUCUAAAGGGAAACAGCCCAGAUUAAUAUAUAAGGUUCCUAAUUACAUAAAAUAAUAAGUGAAAAAAAUAUUAAAAUAUUAUAAUACAAUCAGUUAAUGGAUUUGACAAUAACCAUUUUUUAAUGAACAUGUAACAAUGCACUGAUCUAUUAUAUAAUCUUUAUAGAUUAUAUACAUAUAAUAUUAUAAAUUUUUCUUAUUCAAUAAGAAAAUUAAUAAACAAUAUACGGAUCUUUUUUAUAAAUAAAAAAAUUAUUUAACCGAAUAUUUAAAUAUUAUUAUUAAUGGUUCCAACCAACCAUUUAGUUGAGGGUGGUACGAUAAAAUAAUAAUAAUAUGGUAGUAGAACAUUUAAUGAAAAAAUAUAUUAAUUUUUAAUUAAUAUAUAAUAAAAUAUCUAAAUAUUUAUUUAAAGUUCCGCACACUUUUAUAAUUUUUUAUAAGUGUGUGGUACGAUGGAAUAGUAAUUAAAUAGAGAAUGCUGACAUGAGUAACGAAAAAAAGGUUAAACCUUUUCACCUAAAACAUAAGGUUUUACUAUAAAAGUACGGCCCUUAAUUAAAUUAUAUAAAUAUAAUAUAAGAUAGGAUAAUUCUAAAUUAAAAACUACAUCUUUUAUUUUAUAAAAAAAAUUAUAAAAGAUCAAGAAAUAUUUUUAAUUUAUACCGUAAUGUAUACCGACUCAGGUAUGUUAGUAGAGAAUAUUAAGGUGAAUUAGAUAAUUAAAGGGAAGGAACUCGGCAAAAAUAGCUCUAACGUUAGUCAAUAAAGAGAUAAUUAAAAACAAGGUUGUACAACUGUUUAAUAAAAACACCGCACUUUGCAUAAACGAUAAGUUAACGUAUAAGGUGUGAACUCUGCUCCAUGCUUAACAUAUAAAUAAUAUUAUUUAAUGAUAAUAUUAUUAAAUUUAAGUAAAUAGCAGCCUUAUUAUGAGGGUUCUAAGGUAGCGAAAUUCAUUGUCCAAUAAUUAUGGUCCUGCAUGAAUGACGUAAUGAUACAACAACUGUCUCCCCUUUAAGCUAAGUGAAAUUAAAUUCGCAGUGAAGAUGCUGUGUACCUAUAGUGUGACGGAAAGACCCUAUGCAGCUUUACUGUAAUUAGAUAGAUCGAAUUAUUGUAUAUUAUAUUCAGAAUAUUAAGUAAUUGAUUAAAUAAAAAUGAGAUACUUAUUAUAAUAAUAUAAUAAUUCUAAUCUUAAUAUAAAAUCUCUAUUAUUUAUUAUAAAUAAUAUGAGUUAUUUAAUAGAUAUAAUUCUUAAAUAAAAAUAUUGUAUAUUAUAUAUAUAUUUUAUAUAUAUAUAUUUAUAUAUAAUAUAUUAAUAAGAGACAAUCUCUAAUUGGUAGUUUUGAUGGGGCGUCAUUUUCAGCAAUAAUAUCUGAAUAAGUCUAUAUAUAAAUUAUAAUAUUAUUAAAAAAAAUAUAUAAAAAUAUAUAUUAGAUAUAUUAAUUAUAAAUAGGAAUAUAUUUCUUUAAAAAAGUAAGUUAUAUAUUUUAGUAAUAGAAAAAAUCAUGUAUAGUAAAAUUGUCUAGAAAACAAUAAUAAUAAUAUAAUUAUUUAUAUUAUAUAAUAAAAUGUAUUAAAUUAAUAUAAUGGUAUAACUAUGCAACAAUUAUAACACAAACAAGUGAAAUAAGUACGUAAGUAUGGCAUAAUGAACAAAUAACACUGAUUGUAAUGGUUAUUGAUAACGAAUAAAAGUUACGCUAGGGAUAAUUUACCCACUUGUCCCAUUAUAUUGAAAAAUAUAAUUAUUCAAUUAAUUAUUUAAUUGAAGUAAAUUGGGUGAAUUGCUUAGAUAUCCAUAUAGAUAAAAAUAAUGGACAAUAAGCAGCGAAGCUUAUAACAACUUUCAUAUAUGUAUAUAUACGGUUAUAAGAACGUUCAACGACUAGAUGAUGAGUGGAGUUAACAAUAAUUCAUCCACGAGCGCCCAAUGUCGAAUAAAUCAAAUAUUAAAUAAAUAUCAAAGGAUAUAUAAAGAUUUUAAAUAAAAAAAAAAUAGUUUUUAUUUUAUGAUAUAUUUCAUAAAUAUUUGUUUAUAUUAAAAUUUAUUUGAUAAUGAUAUAGUCUAAACAAUUUGGUAACAAAUUGAUAAAUAAAUAUAUAAUAAUAUUUAUACAAUAAUAAUAAAUUGAACAGGGUAAUAUAGCGAAAGAGUAGAUAUUGUAAGCUAUGUUUGCCACCUCGAUGUCGACUCUACCUAUCCUCUUGGUUGUAAAUGCUAAGAAGGGUUUGACUGUUCGUCAAUUAAAAGGUAACGUGAGUUGGGUUAAAUACGAUGUAAAUCAGUAUGGUUCCUAUCUACUAUAGGUAAUAUUAUCAACUUAAGUCUUAUUCUUAGUACGCAAGGAUCAGAAUGAAUUAAUCCAUGGUGUAUCUAUUGAUUAUUUUAUAAUAUAUAUAUAUAUUUAUAUAUAUAUUAUCUAUAUUAAUUUAUAUUUUAUAUUAUAGUCAUAGUAGAUAAGCUAAAUUAAUAAAUAAUAAGUAUUGAAAGCAUAUAAAAUACGAAGUUGUCUUAAGAUGAGAUAAUAAUCUGAUUAUUUUAUACUAAAAUAAUAUAAAAUAUCCAUUAUAAUAUAUUAAAUUGGAUAUAUAAAUAGGUUUUUUAUAUAUAUAUAUAAUAAAAUACUAA
rnacentral:rRNA from 1 species